UAAGGUAAGUAAAAGGAAUGUCGGACAUUGUCGCUGCGUGCAUCCAACAGUCGUGUCGGAUGUACGCAGUGACAACGUCCAACAUUGCUAUUACUUACCGUAUAU
rnacentral:pre_miRNA from 1 species